AAAGGAGACUACUUUAUCGCGUUUAUUUAUAUUUUAAAUAAAAUGAGGAAAGUCUGGACACAUUAGGGGAACACAUCGGGUAAUAACCGUCCAUCGUGAGAUGAGGAAUUGUGCAACAGAAAUAAAGUACAGUUUGGCUGUAGUGAAAUAUUGUAAACUCUGUGUUGUGAAAUGCUAUAUAUACCGGAUACUUUUUUUUUAAAAAAAGUGUAGUUUUCCCUUUAACUAAUUAAUUCGGGGGGUGGGCAGAUAUAGGUAAAAGGUAACUUUUAUCACAGAUAAAUGAUAAAAAAUAUUAAAUAACAUAAUCCGGCUUAUAAGUCUGUUUUUAUA
rnacentral:RNase_P_RNA from 3 species